rnacentral:ncRNA from 1 species
GUCCUGCGCGUGUCGCGCGCACCUUCCUGUUGGAACUGGCCGGGCCUUGUGCCCGGUUUUUUCC